UACGUAGGUGGCAAGCGUUGUCCGGAAUUAUUGGGCGUAAGCGCGCGCAGGCGGUCCUUUAAGUCUGAUGUGAAAGCCCACGGCUCAACCGUGGAGGGUCAUUGGAAACUGGGGGACUUGAGUGCAGAAGAGGAAAGCGGAAUUCCACGUGUAGCGGUGAAAUGCGUAGAGAAUGUGGAGGAACACCAGUGGCGAAGGCGGCUUUCUGGUCUGUAACUGACGCUGAGGCGCGAAAGCGUGGGGAGCAAACAGG
rnacentral:rRNA from 1 species